UCAAAGACAAGUCAAGAUGGUUGGUUUCUUGGCUGGUUGAAACGACUUAACGACUUCUGCCGCCUGGCAUACAAAUUAGUUUUUUUCCGGAACGAAUGCUGGCGAGAGAGACUGAAAGCGAUGUUGGGUAAGGAAAAUUUCGCUGCAAAGUUUUUUUGGUUAACCGAAAAAAUUAAAACAUCAUCAUUUGGUGCACUCAGCCAAAAAGUCAACUCUACUCGAACUUGACGCGGAGUCAAGUCAAGUCAAGUCAACUCAACUCAUCCCGACUCGACUCGACUGAAUUCGGUUGAAGUCCCUGGGUGUGAUCCGUGUACCCUGUGAGUCGGCAGAGGGAGUGGCGGAUUAGUUAGAUUCUUGACAUCUCUGGCCCCUAGUGAGUUCCCUGGUGUGUCUCCGUCUUCUUUGGCUAAAAGUUUUCCCCAGAGAGACUGCGACGUAGACUGUGUCUCAUGUGACGUUAGCUUUCAAACAUGGAAAACAUUUGUGGCUUCUUGCUGUUGCUUUUGGUGUUUGUGUUUCUGUUUCCAGGCUGUUCAGGUGAUUCGCAAAUAAUCAAGAAACUUUUCGUAUUAAUUUGAGACGAGUUUUUCUUUUUGUGUCCCGAGUUGUUGCCUCUUAUUGACCUCAAUUUAUGCAGACCACGUUGGCUUCUGGUCUCGACUAGGAAACUAAGAAUUUGUCCAGGAUUUGCUGGUGAAUAUUGCUUGUGGUUUGACAACAAAACCCUGUAGGAAGAGGAGGUGGGAGCCCAUUGUGUCAAUUAAAAUUUGGUUUUGUCGCCAAGCUGAAAAAUAAAAUAUUUUCAAAAUUGAGAUGACACCUUCUCUCAAUUUGUAUUUAUUUUUGCUUCUACCCUUAGGAUAGAAUUAGAAUACAAAUAAAAAUAUAAAAUAUCAUUAAGAACCAUAUUCUGGUUGUUAAAUACGGUAUAUUUAUCUGCUGUCAGAGCCCACAAUAUGUUCUCCGGUACGCAUUGAGAAUAGUGGAGAUAUUCCUCGUUACACUUCGUCGGGGACUGACCUGUGUUCGUGUAAUGCAUAGGAGCGUAAUUUAACUAUCCAUGUGGUAUCAGGUUUGACUGGAUUCCGGGCCAAAUGCACUUCCCGAUCAGUUGGGGAUGCGCUUGGGAUUUG